rnacentral:sRNA from 1 species
UAAUUAUUAAAAUCAUUCUUUUUUUACAUUUUAUAGAUCUAUCAAAUUCUUUUUUUUUUUGAAGCAGUAGACACUUAUAUGUAUCUGCUGCUCCGUUCAAUUUAACUCAGUUUUUUAGAUAUUGUUCUACUUUUGUUGUUAAAGUCUAAUAUAUCUUCACCCACAGGUAGUACUUACCUAACUAAGCCUACUAUCCUAGCGAACCCUACAAAUCCGGUUUUGGGAAGUCUGUUGACAUUGGCCUGCGUUAGCAAUUAUACAGAUGUUACUUAUAGCUGGAAGAUGGGUACAGAGUACAUUGCCCAACAGUUUGACCACACCAUACAGCUGGACAGCUUAACAGCCAGUGAUGCUGGAGCCUACGUGUGCAUCGUCAAGAGAAGCGCGGUCACCAUGACCUCUGAAGUUUUCACCAUCUCGAAUGGUCACGUGCUUACAAUAUGCUCAGCACUCGUCUAUGGACUGUUGUUUAUGAUCUCACGACAUUUGGUUUAAAUUUACCAUGACAACCUCCGGCCAUCACAAGCAAAAUAGUUUUUGAUGUUUGAUUAGUAUUUUAGCGUAAUCAAAUAUUAGAAAUUACACUGCAAUAAGAUUUAAACUAUCUUAUGAACCGAAACAAUUACAUAAGAAUACCUAAAGAUAUUUGUCGCAGAAUUUUUCAAAUGAAAAUAUAUUUUCAAAUACAUUUCAAUUACUUUUAAUGGGUAAUUUAUAUUGGGGAUUUUCACCAUAGAUUUUAAACAAUGUAAACUGGUCUAUGUUUGUUUUUAGAUUUCGAAAAUCCAGUUCACAUUCUUGUAAGUGUUAGAAUGCAGUAGAGAAGAUCUGAGGAUGGAGGCGGUAUAAGAAUAAACAAAGCCAGAAUAUAACACAAGCAAAAUACAAAAAAAUACUUUGAAAAAAACAACAAAGCGUAUAUUAAGUGUAUCAAUUGGUUUGGAUCAGUCUUGUAAAUAAAUUUGUAAUUAGCCUCAGACGAAAAACAACACUUCUGUCAAGUACUAUUUCUUUCCUUUGUUGGAGAUACUAAAAAAA